rnacentral:rRNA from 1 species
GACGAACGCUGGCGGCGUGCUUAACACAUGCAAGUCGAACGGAAAGGCCCUGCUUUUGUGGGGUGCUCGAGUGGCGAACGGGUGAGUAACACGUGAGUAACCUGCCCUUGACUUUGGGAUAACUUCAGGAAACUGGGGCUAAUACCGGAUAGGAGCUCCUGCUGCAUGGUGGGGGUUGGAAAGUUUCGGCGGUUGGGGAUGGACUCGCGGCUUAUCAGCUUGUUGGUGGGGUAGUGGCUUACCAAGGCUUUGACGGGUAGCCGGCCUGAGAGGGUGUCCGGCCACAUUGGGACUGAGAUGCGGCCCAGACUCCUACGGGAGGCAGCAGUGGGGAAUAUUGCACAAUGGGCGGAAGCCUGAUGCAGCAACGCCGCGUGCGGGAUGACGGCCUUCGGGUUGUAAACCGCUUUCGCCUGUGACGAAGCGUGAGUGACGGUAAUGGGUAAAGAAGCACCGGCUAACUACGUG